CAUCCUGGGGCUGGAGCAGGUCCCAAGGGUUUGGCUGUUCGCCAAUUAAAGCGGUACGCGAGCUGGGUUCAAAACGUCGUGAGACAGUUUGGUCCCUAUCUUCCGUGGGCGUAGGAGGCUUGAGAGGAUCUGACCUUAGUACGAGAGGACCGGGUUGGACGCACCUCUGGUGUACCAGUUGUCACGCCAGUGGCAUCGCUGGGUAGCCAUGUGCGGAUUGGAUAACCGCUGAAAGCAUCUAAGCGGGAAACCGACCUCAAGAUUUGGCCUCCCGGGGGCAACCCCCUGAAGACCCGAUGGAGACUACGUCGUUGAUAGGCCGGAUGUGUAAGCGCGGCAACGCGUUCAGCUAACCGGUACUAAUCGGUCGUGAGGCUUACAUU
rnacentral:rRNA from 1 species